GUGCCAGCCGCCGCGGUAAUACGGAGGGUGCAAGCGUUAUCCGGAAUCACUGGGUUUAAAGGGUGCGUAGGCGGUUUGAUAAGUCAGAGGUGAAAGCUAGCAGCUUAACUGUUAAAUUGCCUUUGAUACUGUCAGACUUGAAUCAAGUUGAGGUAGGCGGAAUGUGACAUGUAGCGGUGAAAUGCAUAGAUAUGUCAUAGAACACCAAUUGCGUAGGCAGCUUGCUGGGCUUGAAUUGACGCUGAGGCACGAAAGCGUGGGGAUCAAACAGGAUUAGAUACCCUCGUAGUCC
rnacentral:rRNA from 1 species